rnacentral:rRNA from 1 species
GACGAACGCUGGCGGCGUGCUUAACACAUGCAAGUCGAACGAUGAAGCCGGAGCUUGCUCUGGUGAAUUAGUGGCGAACGGGUGAGUAACACGUGAGUAACCUGCCCUUGACUCUGGGAUAACUGCGGGAAACUGUAGCUAAUACCGGAUGCGACCCUCGGAGGCAUCUCUUGGGGGUGGAAAGAAUUUCGGUCAAGGAUGGACUCGCGGCCUAUCAGCUAGUUGGUGAGGUAACGGCUCACCAAGGCGACGACGGGUAGCCGGCCUGAGAGGGUGACCGGCCACGCUGGGACUGAGACACGGCCCAGACUCCUACGGGAGGCAGCAGUGGGGAAUAUUGCACAAUGGGCGCAAGCCUGAUGCAGCAACGCCGCGUGAGGGAUGACGGCCUUCGGGUUGUAAACCUCUUUUAGUAGGGAAGAAGCGAAAGUGACGGUACCUGCAGAAAAAGCACCGGCUAACUACGUGCUAGCCGCCGCAGUAA